GCAAAACGCGAAGAACCUUACCAGGUCUUGACAUCCCGCUGAUCGCUCUAGAGAUAGAGUUUUCCCUUCGGGGACAGCGGUGACAGGUGGUGCAUGGUCGUCGUCAGCUCGUGUCGUGAGAUGUUGGGUUAAGUCCCGCAACGAGCGCAACCCUUGAUCUUAGUUGCCAGCAUUCAGUUGGGCACUCUAAGGUGACUGCCGGUGAUAAACCGGAGGAAGGUGGGGAUGACGUCAAAUCAUCAUGCCCCUUAUGACCUGGGCUACACACGUGCUACAAUGGACGGUACAGAGGGUCGCAACCCCGCGAGGGUGGGCAAAUCCCAUAAAACCGUUCUCAGUUCGGAUUGUAGGCUGCAACUCGCCUACAUGAAGCCGGAAUCGCUAGUAAUCGGAGAUCAGCACGCUCCGGUGAAUACGUUCCCGGGUCUUGUACACACCG
rnacentral:rRNA from 1 species